UACGAAGGGUGCAAACGUUGCUCGGAAUUAUUGGGCGUAAAGCGUGCGCAGGCGGUGAUGUAAGACAGAUGUGAAAUCCCCGGGCUCAACCUGGGAACUGCAUUUGUGACUGCAUCGCUGGAGUGCGGCAGAGGGGGAUGGAAUUCCACGUGUAGCAGUGAAAUGCGUAGAGAUGUGGAGGAACACCGAUGGCGAAGGCAGCCCCCUGGGCUAAGAUUGACGCUCAGGCACGAAAGCGUGGGGAGCAAACAGG
rnacentral:rRNA from 1 species